AAAAGGAUAUACAAGCAGAACCCCCAACCCCACAUGGCCAUUCUCCAUUCUUCAACAAGAGACUUCCCCAUUCACUUACCAUCUACCCAAAUGUUAUCUACCGCCACCGCCACCGCCACCGAUAGACUCACUUGUUGGUGCCACCAAUGUGAUAUGAGCGUCACCCUACUCUUCUCCAACUCUACCGUCUCUUCAUCUUCUACUAUUUCACUCCCCUGCCCCCACUGCCACUCCCUCUCUCUCGAAUACAUGGAUUCCCCUCCAAAUCUCAUCUCUGAUUCCCAUUUCGACUUCCUCUUUGCUGAUUUCGAUUGCGAUGAUAGUGGUACUAGUAAUAACGCAUCCAAUUCAGUCACUGAUGCUUGGCAAUCAUCAAUUACAAGUGUGGUAGUAUCAGAUUGUUUGUCAUAAGUGUUGUGUGUUAUUUGUAAAGAUGACUUUUUAAUUGGUUCAAAAGCUGAACAACUCCCCUGCAAACACCUUUACCAUUCUCACUGCAUCCUCCCUUGGCUUUCCCACCAUUCUUCCUGCCCUCUUUGCAGAUUCCAAUUAAUUCCAGGUAAUACAUAAUCAAUCAAGUUUGAAUCUGCGUCAGAUGAUCAAGUGUAAACGAAUCUCUCCCCUCCUGGAAUUUUCUCUGCUCAAAUAAAGAAAAGUUUGUUCAA